UGGUUGAUCUGUGGUGAGUGCUGGUUGGACGCUGACGCGUAUGCAGCUCCAAACUUACCAGCCAGAGCAGGUGCGUAACCAGCGUGGCCUCUUCCUGUUUGGAGGUUGUUCUCCUCGGGCUGAUGAUCCCCUCCCCAGCUCGACAGAGCGCGGUCAACCUGCGGUGCCGUCUGGGGGUAGUCGGCGUUGGCGGUACGCCUCCACGGCUCUGCCACCUGGGCUAUGUUGGGUCCCUCGCUACUUCACCUUGGCGUUCCUGGACGACUGGAUCCAAGCAGUGGGCCCCAAGGCUCCACACUGCUGUUUUGUUAACUUUCUUUUAAUACGUAUUUUAGCCCGCUGCUGGGCGGGGCUACAGAGUGUUUGGUUGCCAGGGCAACCACUGGAUCUCCCACACCGGAUACAUUUAAUGGAGCCAGUUUAUUUAGGUUUCCCCUGUUUUUAACAUAACUGACCUGUAUAGCACCUCCUUAACUUAGUAUAUUUUUAUCUGUAUGCUUUUAGAUAACUGUUGAAGGCCAUGCACCAGUCUGUUCCUCUGGGUGCACGGACCUAGGUCCUGUUGGUUCCCUGGAGCCGGCAGGCUCUGGAGUGGUGUUGUUGCAACAUUUUAGCUUAACUUGGUACAGACUCAUUUUGCCACAAGUUAUAAUUAUGCUAAACCAUCGACAUAUAUACUGGACAAUUAAUUUCCAUAGGCUCCAAUAUCACUUUUUUGAGGCCAAAUGGGAGGUGGCCACCACCGCCAUUUUGACCGUGUCACAGGUUCCGUCAAGCCCAGACAAUUCCAAAAAAGGGAAGAGAGGAGGAGCUGAGGGUGGGGCUGUAAGGCUGGGAUCGACUGACGACACACGGGUUAAACUAGCUACAAGCUAACCCAAAGCUAAUGCGGAGCGGAGGUGGGAGCUAAGCUAACGGAGGUAGCAACCUAUCUACAACCGGAGUUAACUGUGCACCACACCAGAGCUUCUGAGUCAGAGAUACGCCGGGCUGACGGCUGGGUAAAACCGCAUGGAACACAGAGGUCUCCGAGACCAGGUCUCGGAGCAAAAUGGAGUUAACGCAGCACCUAAUCAAUGCUAACAGGCUGUCUGCUUUAAAAUAUGCUUAAAGUUAAUGUGUAUAACAACGUGUUCUGUCAAAGGAACAACUGUGAUUGGAGGUCAUAGUAUGUCAUCCGUUUAAAAGUAAAAAAAAAAAAGCAUCUAGUCAGGGGCGGAUUUAGGACUGAAGAAGAUCCGGGGCUUAACACACACGCGCGCGCACGCGCACACACACGCGCGUGCACGCGCACACACACGCAUGCGCGCACACACGUGACACGCACUAGUCAACAUCAUAUAUAUUUGUCUUGUACCACAUAAUGUUUAAUCUGAAGCUACAUAUUCAGCAUAUUCAGGGCAGAGUAUUGUUCCUGUUAGUGUUUAGUGUGAGAUGAUAGUGAAUAUUCCCUUUCUUUCUCCAACAACUUUACCUGAUAGUAAGCUAACUUUAGGCAAACCAGCAGCACAACAAAUAUUUUCAAAUAAGACUCACAAACCUGAGUCAACACCAGUCUCAUCAGAGCUGGGGUUCUGUCGUUGUACUUUUGGUCUAAAAAAACGUCCUUAUAUCCAUCUUCACUCAUGCGUUUCAGACAGAGACUGCAGAAGCCAGCUGCUGAAGGGCUUCUCUUCAGUCUCAGGUAAACUGUAUAUUGACUAAGUAGCCUAGUGGUAGAGUGUCUGCCCUGAGAUCGGGAGAUCAGGGGUUCGACUCCUGGUCGGGUCAUACCAAAGAUUUUGAGAAAAAUGGGACCCAAUGCCUCCCUGCUUGACACUCAGCAUUGGAUUGGGGUUGGAUUGGGGGGUUAAACCACCAAAUAGUUCCCGAGCGCGGCGUGUCUGCAACUCAGGGGAUGGGUCAAAAUCGGAGAAUAAAUUUCACCACACACCUGUGUGUGUGACGACUAAAUGGGACUUUACAAACUACUGCCAGCUGCGCCCUCUCUGUGUGACUUUGGUACUGCAUGUUACUUCCGCGAUUUAGAUCCGGGGCUUAUCAUGAAAGAUCCGGGGCUUCAGCCCAAGUAGCCGGGCCUAACGCCGCCCCUGCAUCUAGUACAGUAAGUGACUCUCCGAGACAUGAUAAUGGCUAGCCUCUCUGAUGCUAAUGCCAGCCUAUCCAUGCUUAAAGUCCGUUGAGGGGGUAGGAAAUCCAGCUAGUGGCCAGCCUAGGCACGUUAAUGGCUAGCCUCUCCAACACGUUAAUGGCUAGCCUCUCCAAUGCUAGCACCAGCCCGUCCAGGCUAACGCUAGCCUAUCCAUGCUAAUAGACAGCAGAGGGAGUGUGUGAACCGGUCAAUGACCAUCCGAGGGCUGCUAGUCCCUAGCGUAUCUAGUAAUAACGCCGGUAAAGGUGCUAUUUCUCAGUAAGCAGCGCCAGCCUCUCAGUUACCGGCGCCAGCUAAUCAUUAAUCAGGUCGGUAGUUUGCUUCGGAAUUUAUAUAGCCUCCUGCUGCUGGGCAGUAGUCUUAAUUUUGGCCCCCAUACCGCGCCAUAUAAAUCAACAUCGAGGAUUUGACCUCUAACGAUAAAUGACGAUAACUACAGGUGUGUGCAGACAAAGGUUGUCCACUAGAUGGGGCUGUCACGUGUUUUACGUUGAGUCACAUUUUUACGACUCAAGGUGGUAAAGCUUCUUAAAGGGACAUGAACUUUGCCCACCUACGCACAUCUUGUCAUUUUUUAUUAUAAAACUUGAGAGUCGGGACUAAUUUUCUCGAUGAGAGUCAGAAAUUUCAUUAACGAUAAAUUUUCUAUUUAUUACCCAGCCCUUGUCUGCAGUAGAGGGUUAGAGAGGUUUCUCUCAUGCAGCGCCUCUCAAGAUAAAAACCACGAGGUGCUUCACAAAAACAAAGAAAAACAAUUAAGUAUGAAAGAUUUUUAAAUAUGAUUACAAUAUGUUUACAUUUAGAAAAAGGAAAUUGUGAUUAAAAUAAUGAUAAUGUAAGGAAAGGGAGAGAGAAAAGGAAACCAGUGGAUCCUGGAAAAGGUGGAAUAAGGAGAGUGGGGAUGAAGGUCCCACCAAAGCCUGAACAGGUGUCUUCAGCUGCUUUGUGUUAGCAGUGCUCUGCUGCCACCUAGUGUUCAGCUCUGAACACAACAGUCUAAAUGUUCCAUGUGCAUUUACACGUCAGCAGUAACGCCUAUAAUAUCCACACAUCCCAACAAAUCCCACAGUAGUUACCUUUGUAAUGAGACCAAAGUAAUCUUACACAGAUAUACUCUCUAAAGGAUGUCAUCAUUCAGUCAGACGUCCAUCACCUGGGCCUCACUAACACUAGUUUUAAUUAAAAGAACUGCUUGAGGGUAAAUCGUGUUCAAGGGUCAAUGGGUGAUUAAUCAAGAUUAAUUACAAAGCCUCUAAUUAGAUUAUUUUAUAAUCGAGUCCCACCUCGUUUGUACACCAGAGAAGAUGGCUAACUUUUUAUUAGUGGUAGGAAGUUCUAGAAAUCGCGGUUUAGAGGUGGAAACUGCAUGAAGAAGUGGAAGAGAAGGUGUUAAAAGGUCUCUGAAAUACAUAAACACAAUGUCAACACAGGAUAGUAAAUACACUAGAGACAGGACUGCUGGGGUUGCAGCAUCUAUCUUUAUAACCUCAGGAAGUCUGAAUGAUUCAUUUAGUCCAGAACAUCAGAUUCAUGAAUUCCUUUUAUUAAAAAGCAGUUUAACGACAGCAGGUUUAUCGUUGAUGUGAAGCUGAAACUUAAUCAAACGAGUAGAAAACAGCCUCUAAACAGGAAGGAGAAAAGAAAAGAUCGCAUUAUCGGUCUGCUGUAUCAGGUGACCAUCAGAGGAUUCUCAAAUCAGCUGGUCACACAGCACCCCCGCUGGUGGAACAGCAGACCCGGACCUGACCGAGAGACCCGAUCAGACCCAGACCUGACCAAAAGACCCGAUCAGAACUGUACACCUGAUCAGAAUCCAGAGACCCGAUCAGACACAGAGACCUGACCAAGAGACCCGAUGUGACCAAGAAUCCCGAUCAGACCUGGACCUGACCAAGAGACCUGAUCAGACCCGUACACCUGAUCAGAACCCAGACCUGAACUGAGACUCGAUCAGACUCAAACCUGACCCUGAGACCCUAUCAGAGCCUGAGACCAGAUUAGACCCAGACUUGAUUCAGAGACCUGAUGGAUUCUGGACCCGGUCUCUCCUGGGCGAACCUUAAUGUUCCGGUCAUGAUGACAAUGUAUUGAACAGUCUGUCAGAACCAUCAUGAAUAAGAACUUCAAGACUUCGAGUUCAGGUCCUGUAGUGUCUUGUGUACAGACCUGGCUCACUGGGUCUCCUCCGUUUGCUGUGAAGGUGUUUUGGGUCGUAUCUGCUCCUCGGUACUAGCUCCAUCAGCAGCUGCUCCUGAUCCUGGACCAUUGGGGUUUGUCACCUCUGACCCACUCUGCAGAAACUUUCUCAGGUCCUUCAGAGCCGGUCUGAGCAUCUGAACCAAAGCGAGCAAAGCGGCCUGGGUCCCCUCUAGAGCCUGGGCCUGGCGUUCCUGGGCCAGCGCCUGUACCUCCUGACAGCGCCGCAUCAUCUGCAGCAGCUCGUUCUGACCCUCCAGGUGCUGGGCGAUCUGUCGCACGUGCACGUUGGUGACUCUCUGCUCCUGCAGCAGGCGGGCAGAGUUCAGGGCGAUCCGGCUCUUCAGCUCCUGGGGUUUGACCUGAGACGGCACCAGAGGCGGAGAGGACGAGGACGAGGCCAGCAUUUCCAUCGGAGUUUCAACAGCAGUCACCACGGUGGGGGUGGGGUCACCCAUGCUGGUUGUGCAGUACUCCACCACACCUCCGUCCUCCAGGGUGUGGAAGGUGGUUUCAGCUGUAGACAGGGCAGGUCAGACAGAGAAGACAGGUUUCUAUUGACUAGAUUUAUUUCACCGUUCAUUUUUCUUAAAUAAUUGUAUGUGAAAGUUUUUUCAACUCUACCACAGGGGUAGACCGAUAUAUCGGGACGAUUUACCUCCUUACCGUCACUUUACCUGUUUAAAAAUUAGGCACAUGCUUGGGCUGCUGUACAAAGUAAUUUUUAAAUAGGAUGGGAGGCUGAUCUUUUAGCUGUUAGGCUCCUCUCCUGUAGAACCAGCUCCCAGCUUCAGUCCGUGAGGCAGACACCUUGUCUACUUUUAAGAAUAGGCUCAAAACAUUUUUAUUUGAGGGCCUAUGGUUAAAAUCUGAUGUUAGCCCAGAUCUGGACAAGUGGGGGAGUAGAGGGAGGUGGAGUGUACAGUCGGUAAAGACGGCUCUCCCUUGCCCUGCCUCCAACAUGCCUCCAUCUAAAAGGCUAGGUUAUCCAGAGUUAUCUCUGUAGUUAUGCUGCUAUAGGCUUAGACUGCUGGAGGACACACUGACCACUUUCCACACUCGACUACUUUCUUCUACAAUCUGCUCUUUAACUGUAUUAUUUUCUGCUAUUUCAGCUGUUAACUUUAUUUUUUCUCUAAGUGUUUUUCUCCCCAGAAGAAGCUACAACGAUGUUCUGCUGAGCUGUGGUGGCCUCAUGGAGGGGCCAUCGUCUAGCACACUGCUGCUAGUCACUUAAACAUUCUCCCUCUCCUGAUAAUAACUUUUUACUCUCUUUGACAUAGAAUGUGCUACUACUAGUUUACCCGUUUAAUUAUAGAUUCACUAGAAUAAAUACAAUAAAGUUUAUCUCUCACCAAAUAGAAUAUUUACUAAGAAAUCACAAUGUAAACUGUGUGUGCUGCUUAUACUGAGCCAGGAUCCUCUGGAGGUUUCUUCCUGUUAAAAGGGACUUUUCCUCUCCACUGUCGCUGCAUGCUUGCUAAGUAUGAUUGCUGCAAAGACUUGGACACUAGUCAGUGACUCGAUGCAACCUGCUGGGUUCCUUAUAUAGGAAACUUGUUAUUGGCUGGCUUAAUGACCUGACCUGUGUUGGGAGUGUUUACUGUGUGAAGGUCCUAGAGACGACGCUGGUCCUGACUUGGAACUAUAAAUACUUAAUAGAAUUUUAAUGUAUAUGAAUGUUUCUGAAUAACAUCUGUAUAAUAAAUACUUACUUUCAACAAAAAAAUGUAUUUUUUAUUAGCCAGUGUUGAAUAUUGGAUACUUGAUCAGUUAAGUGAUUAAUUUAAUCAACUUUAGUUACAUUUUAAUUUUGUGCCCGGCGUUAAAAUCACACUUCAGAGUUCAGCUGCGGCUAAUGUCACGUUAGCAUCAAAGUAGGUAAACAACGUCUAACGCAUCGGUAACAAAAAACCAGUCUACCUCUACUCGGCUGCUCCAGAACUUUGUGUCUUCCUCA